rnacentral:pre_miRNA from 1 species
CCCGGGACCUUGGUCCAGGCGCUGGUCUGCGUGGUGCUCGGGUGGAUAAGUCUGAUCUGAGCACCACACAGGCCGGGCGCCGGGACCAAGGGGGCUC